rnacentral:rRNA from 1 species
UGCGCAGGCGGAUUGGUAAGUCAGUGGUGAAAUACAACAGCUUAACUGUUGCCCUGCCAUUGAUACUGUCAGUCUAGAGUAUAGUUGGAGUGGGCGGAAUGUGUCAUGUAGCGGUGAAAUGCUUAGAUAUGACACAGAACACCGAUCGCGAAGGCAGCUCACUAAACUAAAACUGACGCUCAUGCACGAAAACGUGGGGAUCAAACAGGAUUAGAUACCCUGGUAGUCCACGCUGUAAACGAUGAUUACUCGAUGUUGGCGAUACACAGUCAGCGUCUGAACGAAAGUAUUAAGUAAUCCACCUGGGGAGUACGUUCGCAAGGAUGAA